GUCCUCAGGAGCAGCAAGGGCAGCCUCUUCACAACUUCUAACUCAGAAAGCCACUCAGUGGCUGGGAGAUCGGGCCUUGUGGAACAAGUACACCGGACGCUGGAAGCCUGAAGGGAAGAACACAGAGGCAGAAACCCAACUCACUGUGAGAGACUUUCUCCUGCAGUAGGACGACCACGGUUGGGGCUCCAGGACCAGAAUGCCCCCAGGUCGCAGAUGCCGGUAGAUCCGGCGGAACAUUCUCUUCAGCCCCUCAUCACCCCAGUUCAGGUGCACCCACUUGGUGAGGCUGAAGCAGAGCACCACAUCAUACUCAGGUCUUUGGGCAUCCACCAGCUCAUCUCUGUCCAGGACAUAGUUACCCUGUGGGCCAGAAGAGGGGAAGAUGUCAAAAAGAGGGACGAGACGCACUGCUGGCCCCACAACCACCUGAGGACUGAGAACCUCACUUCAGCCCUGUGGCCUCCUGAGGCCCUUCCCAACAGCACCCUCUUUCAGCCCCGUGUUCUCUUCUUCCUUUUAAGUUCCUGGUGCUAAACCAAACAAACUUAAAGGGGAGCCUGGGUAGGUUUAAAUUGAGCUAAUUUAUCUAAUGGUUAACUGGAGAAAUUACAGUGUUCCCAAAACCCUUACCCAGGAGACCUCACAUACAAAGGCCAUGCACUGUUUUAAAGACAGAGACUCUUAAGCCGUGUUUCAGGCCUGUUCUUUCUCUAAGGAAAUAACCUUAGGAAAUCUCUUUUUAAAGAAGGUAAACUCAUCACCAUUCCUGGGGAGACAUUUCCCAGGCCAAGCUACUGGCAAAAGUUCCCCUGGAUGGCCUAACAACUGUGUAAUGGAGGGAACUAGCAUGAUGUCAGGCUGGGCACUCGCUCCAUGUAGAGCCCUGCCUUCACUGCCCCUUCUCACUGCUCAGUCAGCAUGGGAAGACAAGCCCAUGAGUUCCUGACCAGUAAUUUCAGCAGUCUGUGCUGCAUCUGGGGAAAAAAGGCAAAUAAAGUCCCUAUCAAGGUCCCAAA